AUUGAACGCUGGCGGCAUGCUUUACACAUGCAAGUCGAACGGCAGCACGGGUGCUUGCACCUGGUGGCGAGUGGCGGACGGGUGAGUAAUACAUCGGAACGUAUCCUAAAGUGGGGGAUAACGCAUCGAAAGAUGUGCUAAUACCGCAUACACUCUGAGGAGGAAAGUAGGGGAUCGAAAGACCUUAUGCUUUUGGAGCGGCCGAUGUCUGAUUAGCUAGUUGGUAAGGUAAUGGCUUACCAAGGCAACGAUCAGUAGUUGGUCUGAGAGGACGACCAGCCACACUGGGACUGAGACACGGCCCAGACUCCUACGGGAGGCAGCAGUGGGGAAUUUUGGACAAUGGGCGCAAGCCUGAUCCAGCAAUGCCGCGUGAGUGAAGAAGGCCUUCGGUGUAAGCUCUUUCAGUUGAGAAGAAAAGAAUUAGUGACUAAUAAUUAGCAAUUCAUGACGGUAUCAACAG
rnacentral:rRNA from 1 species